AUAAUUAAAAUCUUACUUAUUUUAUUUUUUUGUUUUAGAAGAAAUAUCUUUUUAUUAAGUAUAAUUAAUGAACAAUUUUUUUUGUUAUAGUGAAUUAGUACUGUGAAGGAAUAGAUGAAAUAAAUUAAAAUUUAUUUUUAAUAAGUAUGUUUAAUUUGCAGUACCUUUUGUAUCAGGGUUAAUCAAUUAUAUUAAUUUAUUUUUAAUUCUCGAUUUUAGAGGAGCUAUUUUAUUAUUUUAGUUAAUGUUUCAUAAUUAUUAAUAAUAUAAUUUAGAGGAGAAAUUUUAUUCGGCUCUAAAGGUAUCUAGUUUUUUAAGAAAUAAAUUUAAUUUAGUUUUGUCAUUUAAAUUUUAUAUUUAUAUUAUACUUUAUUUGACAAGUUAAAUAUUAUAGGGGAUAAGCUCUAUUUUAUUCCAUAAAAUUUAUAAUUAAUUUAUUGCAGUAGGUUUAAAAUUAUCCAUCUUUAUUAAGCGUGUUAUAAUUUAUUUUUUUUAUUAAUUAAUUUUUUUCUUUUUAGUUAACUUAUUAAAAAAUUAUAAUUAAUAAUAUAUUAUAAGUAAUAAUGAUUGAAUUAGUAUAAAAUUGUGUUUAUAUAGUUGUUAUAUAAAUAAUAAAGUAAGGAACUCGGCAAUUAUAGUUCUCGCCUGUUUAACAAAAACAUGUCCUUUUGGUUUUAUUGAAGGUCUGACCUGCCCAGUGAUUAAAGUUUUAACGGCCGCGGUAUACUGACCGUGCAAAGGUAGCAUAAUCAUUAGUCUUUUAAUAGAGGGCUGGAAUGAAAGGUUUGACGAGGAACUGACUGUCUCACUUUAUUUGUUUUAAAAUUUAAUUUUUUAGUUAAAAAGCUAAAAUUUGAUUGGAAGACGAGAAGACCCUAUAGAUCUUUAUACAUUUUAUGUAAUUGUUUUUAUAUUAUUAUUUUAUAUUAAAAUUGUAUUUUGUUGGGGUGACAAAAAUAUAUAAUUAACUUUUUUAUCAUCAUUACAUUUAUAUAUGAAUAUUAGAUCCAUUAUUAUUGAUUAUUAGAAUAAGUUACCUUAGGGAUAACAGCGUAAUCUUCCUCCAGAGUUCAUAUUUACAGGAAGGCUUGCGACCUCGAUGUUGGAUUAAGAUAAUAAUUAGGUGUACCCGCUUAAUUCAUGGGUCUGUUCGACCUUUAAACCUUACAAAA
rnacentral:rRNA from 1 species